GGCAGCACCGUGGGAAGGCAGCUGGAAGGAAGUCUGAGUUCAGAAACGUACAAGUUCCAACACACAGCUCUGGCGCCGCACGCUCCGUGCCCAGCUUGUUUUUCCCAGGCCAGGCUGGGCAGGCAGAAGCCCUGAAGCCAUGGAAACGACACAGACCACCUGUCCCGCCCCGGCUCUGCUCUGCCCAGUGGCUUUCUUCGUCUCUGCAGACCUCCUGGCGUGCUGGCCCUGCCCCAGCUGGGCUCCGGGCAGAACGGCCCUCCCCGGCCUGGCCCCCGCCCACCCGGGACCGCCGCUGGGCUGGCGCAGAGAAAGCUCUGGGGUCCCUCGCUGCUCCCAGCACUCGUCAGAUGCAGGCUCUGAGGACCGGGCUUCUCGGUCCUCGGCCCCUUCCCUCCUCCUCCAGCCCAGGAGGGAGGCCAGCUCCGAAGUGCUCUUUGAUCAGAGCUGCCCCCGAGAUGAAGCGGGCUACCUUGAAAGGUGGUGACCUCCCCGUCACGUGAGACAUGCAAGAGUAGAGCCCUGAAGCUGCUGUAAGGGAAUCCUGGGUCUGUGUGGGGAAAAUGAACUGACUGAAUGAA